ensembl:lncRNA
CGGAGGUGUCAGACAGGCAGCACUGAGCUGCUGAGAGGAGAGCAGAGCAGAGGACUGAGGAGUAGGAAAGGGUUGAAGAGGGGAGACACUGGACACUGGGUGUGUGAUGAGACCUAUGGGGAGGAGGUGUGUGAUGAGACCUAUGGGGAGGAGGUGUGUGAUGUGGCCUAUGGAGAGGAGGUGUGUGAUGAGGCCUAUGGGGAGGAGGUGUGUGAUGAGGCCUAUGGGGAGGAGGUGUGUGGUGUGGCCUAUGGAGAGGAGGUGUGUGAUGAGGCCUAUGGGGAGGAGGUGUGUGAUGAGGCCUAUGGGGAGGAGGUGUGUGAUGAGGCCUAUGGAGAGGAGGUGUGUGAUGAGGCCUAUGGGGAGGAGGUGUGUGAUGAGGCCUAUGGGGAGGAG